rnacentral:snRNA from 1 species
AGAGAUGAGGGUGAUCUUGCUGCAACAUGUCACGCCAUCGAUUGCCAGAGCUGAUUUGGCUGAUCCAGCUGGAUAGGCGGAUGUUCCCUUUCUCCCUCACUGCUCCAUGUGCAUCUCUCUUGAAGCUGUGCACUAAUUGAAGACGACAACCAUCCCUGAUAGAGAAGUACCAGUCUUCAGUCAAGGGUAUAUGAGUAGCUGCAUUCCUCUGCUAGAACCUCCAAACAAGCUCUCAAGGAAACACACACACACACACAACACACACACACACACACACACACACACACAUGCAUACAAAGAGACAAAAGACUUGU